CGCUCCGGGUAUUGCGGGUUUUGUGUGACAGUGGGUCUACCGGCUGGUGGGAUUCGUGUGUCGCAGGCCUCGCUGGGCCGAGUUCGUGACGUCAUAAAACAUGAAGGUAGCUGAAUCCAGGGCAGAACUAACAUUUGCUCAAGAUUGGGUCCCAAAAAGGUUAUCGAUCAUGACUGUAUUUUCUGUGACACUGAGUCCUUGGUCAGCCCUCAAUUACAACAUUGGCACCAGAGGAGAAAAUGUUCCAUUUUAUGGAAGAUGGGAUUUCUAAGAACACGAUGUGGCGAGAAGCGAGACUGACUAUAAAAUCUAGAAACGUGUAUUUAUGGCUACAAAUUGAUAACAGGAAACAUCUUAGGAAGAAGAAGACUGGCAGAUUGUAGGA